rnacentral:rRNA from 1 species
GACGAACCGUACGAACGUUAUUCGGAAUCACUGGGCUUAAAGGGUGCGUAGGCGGCCAAGCAAGUUGGGUGUGAAAUCCCUCGGCUUAACCGAGGAAUUGCGCCCAAAACUGCUGUGCUCGAGGGAGAUAGAGGUGAGCGGAACUUAGGGUGGAGCGGUGAAAUGCGUUGAUAUCCUAAGGAACACCGGUGGCGAAAGCGGCUCACUGGAUCUCUUCUGACGCUGAGGCACGAAAGCUAGGGUAGCGAACGGG